rnacentral:tRNA from 1 species
GCCUGGGUGGCUCAGUCGGUUGAGCCUCCGACUUCGGCUCAGGUCACGAUCUCACGGUCUGUGGGUUCGAGCCCCGCGUCGGGCU